AGUCGAACGGCAGCGCGGGAGCAAUCCUGGCGGCGAGUGGCGAACGGGUGAGUAAUACAUCGGAACGUGCCCAAUCGUGGGGGAUAACGCAGCGAAAGCUGUGCUAAUACCGCAUACGAUCUACGGAUGAAAGCAGGGGAUCGCAAGACCUUGCGCGAAUGGAGCGGCCGAUGACAGAUUAGGUAGUUGGUGAGGUAAAGGCUCACCAAGCCUUCGAUCUGUAGCUGGUCUGAGAGGACGACCAGCCACACUGGGACUGAGACACGGCCCAGACUCCUACGGGAGGCAGCAGUGGGGAAUUUUGGACAAUGGGCGAAAGCCUGAUCCAGCCAUGCCGCGUGCAGGAUGAAGGCCUUCGGGUUGUAAACUGCUUUUGUACGGAACGAAACGGCCUUUUCUAAUAAAGAGGGCUAAUGACGGUACCGUAAGAAUAAGCACCGGCUAACUACGUGCCAGCAGCCGCGGUAAUACGUAGGGUGCAAGCGUUAAUCGGAAUUACUGGGCGUAAAGCGUGCGCAGGCGGUUAUGUAAGACAGUUGUGAAAUCCCCGGGAUCAACCUGGGAACUGCAUCUGUGACUGCAUAGCUAGAGUACGGUAGAGGGGGAUGGAAUUCC
rnacentral:rRNA from 1 species